AGUAGCGAGUAGUUUUUGACCUACAAAACCAGCUGUUUUGUUGAAAGUAUUGCGUCAAUUCCCAAAACAGCUUUUCAUCUUUCUUUUUCCUAAUCCUCUGUAAAAUUCUAGUGCACCAUCACUGUGACGUCAUCUUGGGUCACGUUUCAACCUUUGUAUUUUACCUUUACUCAGUUUUGACUACUGAUUCUGAACGACUGCAAUUUCACAUCUUACAAAUUCUAUAACAUUUCGUCGCUUGAAAGAAGCACUUCUAUAAAUACACUUUGAACAUUAACUAUGCUUUGAAGUAUAUGAAGUCAAAAAGUC